rnacentral:rRNA from 1 species
UCUCAGUGCAAGCCGUCCUGUACGGUGAAACCGCGAAAGGCUCAUUAAAUCAGUUAUGGUUCCUUAGAUCGUAUAACCCACGUUACUUGGAUAACUGUGGUAAUUCUAGAGCUAAUACAUGCCGACAAGAGUUCCGACCAGCGUAUUUGUUGUACGGCGACGCGCGACGUCUACUGUCGUCGUCGUCGGCGCUUAAACGUUCGGAAGGAACGCUUUUAUUAGAUCAAAACCGGCCAAGCGAUCGAAUGUUUAUUAAAGUUGGGCGCACCGCAUCGCGCGCGUGCGUCUCCAACAAGUUCGGUCGUAAGUGCCCCGCGCAAAGACUUGACGACUCUGAAUAACUUUGAGCUGAUCGCACGGUCUUCGUACCGGCGACGUAUCUUUCAAAUGUCUGCCUUAUCAACUGUCGACGGUAGGUUCGACGCCUACCGUGGUGGUAACGGGUAACGGGGAAUCAGGGUUCGAUUCCGGAGAGGGAGCCUGAGAAACGGCUACCACAUCCAAGGAAGGCAGCAGGCGCGCAAAUUACCCACUCCCAGCUCGGGGAGGUAGUGACGAAAAAUAACGAUACGGGACUCUUCCGAGGCCCCGUAAUCGGAAUGAGUACACUUUAAAACCUUGGUCACACGAGGAUCAAUUGGAGGGCAAGUCUGGUGCCAGCAGCCGCGGUAAUUCCAGCUCCAAUAGCGUAUAUUAAAGUUGUUGCGGUUAAAAAGCUCGUAGUCGGAUCUGUGUCCUCGCGGCGUCGGACCACUGAGAGUCGUCGCGGUCGGCCCACGCGGUUGACCGUGCACGGCCAGGUGAUAGUUCCCGGCGUGUCAGCGGGACGUCCUGCCGGUAGGCGGACACGCGCCUACGUUUCCGGCUGCGUGUGCCCGACACGCGUGGCCGAGUCUCGCGUGCGAGCGUCGGACAUUAAGUGCGCGCUCGUGCGUGGUUCCGGUUCUUCGCGUUCGCGGCGCGCGUAGUUUUCGGUUCGUUGGUGGCGGCCGCCGUUUUGCAAAAUCCUGUUCGUGCGGAGCGCGGUUCGCGUGCCGAUAAUUUCGGGCGCGGCCGCGUUUUCGUACGGCGGGCCGGCACGUUUACUUUGAACAAAUUAGAGUGCUCAAAGCAGGCUCGAACGUGGCGGUGCGUUUCGCGUAAGUGCGGACGUCUACCGUCGUACAGCCCUGAAUAUGGUCGCAUGGAAUAAUGGAACAAGACCUCGGUCCCGCCUCUACGCUGUCAAAGCGCGUGAAUUCGCCCUCGUGGCGUUUCCGUGCGCGGGUUGCCGGUCAGGGCCCCGCAUUCGCGUCCACGUCGCCCUAGCCAUCCUUCGCGGUGCGCUAUCGGUCUCCGGCGUGGGUUACGCAAUGCCGCGGUAAAACCCUGAUCGUUGGUCGGUUUUCGGGACCGGAGGUAAUGAUCAACAGAGACAGGCGUGGGCAUUCGUACCGCGACGUUAGAGGUGAAAUUCUUGGAUCGUCGCGAGACGAACCGAAGCGAAAGCAUUUGCCAAGUAUGUUCUCGUCUGAUCAAGAACGAAAGUUAGAGGUUCGAAGGCGAUCAGAUACCGCCCUAGUUCUAACCGUAAACGAUGCCAGCUAGCGAUCCGCCGGAGUUCCUCCGAUGACCCGGCGGGCAGCUUCCGGGAAACCGAAGCUUUUCGGUUCCGGGGGAAGUAUGGUUGCAAAGCUGAAACUUAAAGGAAUUGACGGAAGGGCACCACCAGGAGUGGAGCCUGCGGCUUAAUUUGACUCAACACGGGAAACCUCACCAGGCCCGGACACUGGAAAGAUUGACAGAUUAAGAGCUCUUUCUUGAUUCGGUGGGUGGUGGUGCAUGGCCGUUCUUAGUUGGUGGAGCGAUCUGUCUGGUUAAUUCCGAUAACGAACGAGACUCUGUCCUGCUAACUAGGCGGGUUCCUCGUCGCCCACGGAUCUGCGUGCGGCGUUACGGCCGCGUGUGGCUUUUAUUAGACGCGCGUGCGUCGGGCGCUGUGCGUACCGUGGUCACCGACGAACCGGUAUCCCCGAACGUGGUUGGCCGUCGUCAACGACGCGUCGUUGGUCGUCGCGGGUCGCUGGUCGUCCGAACGUUCUUCCUCGUUGCGUGGGUGCGCGCGCGUGCGUCCUCUUUUUAGCUCGUGCUCGUGUGAGCGCGCGCGUGUGUGUCGUCGUACGUGUGUAUUUAUGCGCGGGCGGCGAUGUUCGCGUUCGCGUUAGCGCGUGUACGGGUCGAGAGGACGUGUGUGUGUGUGU